rnacentral:lncRNA from 10 species
UGCGGGUCUGUGUGAAGAGACCACCAAACAGGCUUUGUGAGCAAUAAAGCUUUUAAUCACCUGGGUGCAGGUGGGCUAAGUCCGAAAAGAGAGUCAGUGAAGGGAGAUAGGGGUGGGGCCAUUUUAUAGGAUUUGCGUAGGUAGAGGAAAAUUAAAGUCAAAGGGGGGUUGCUCUCUGGCGGGCAGUGUAAACAAGAGCAGGGCAUGGAUGAGUAGU